CCCCAGCGCCACAAGUGGUUAUCACGAUUAUUGGGCCUAAAGCGUUCGUAGCCGGUUUGGUAAAUCUCUUGUGAAAUUGUUCGGCUUAACCGGACAGCGUGCAGGAGACACUGCCAGACUCGAGACCGGGAGGGGUUAGAAGUAUUCCAUGGGGACUGGUAAAAUGGGAUAAUCCAUGGAAGACUACCGAUGGCGAAGGCAUCUAACCAGAACGGAUCUGACGGUGAGGAACGAAGGCCAGGGGAGCGAACCGG
rnacentral:rRNA from 1 species